AUGCACAACACCGCGAAUGCCUCCCUUCCAGUCAAUACCUCCUCAUCAUUCAAAUCCGCCACCGCUACCCUUUUACAACUACGACCGUAUGUCUCAAACACCUCCGCCAUCAAUGCUCCCUCAGUCGAUCUCAUUGCACGAAGCCCCCGAUCUACGCCCAAAACUGUGAUCAGACGCAGCACCGAGCACGCGCCUUCCGACCACACACCGGCCACCCUCCAGCGUUACAACCUCCAGAAAACACCAAAGCCUCUGCCUCUUCCGCGCUCUCCGACAUUUCGUGCAAGUCUGCGCCACCUUUAA